UUUUUUAAAGAAAAUAAAAAAUUAGUUUUAAAGAAAUUGAUUUAAAACUGUUUUUUUUAAACUAUUUUUUUUUGAAAAACCGGUUUAAAACCGAACCGGUCCACUUAUAAACCGAUUUCUAAAAAAUAAAUUGGUUUUAUGAAAAUGGUUUUAAGAACCAAACCGAACCAUAGAUAUGGUUCAAUUUAGUUUGGUUCAUGAUCCAUUCACACCCCUAAUCACAUGGGGAGGUUUGUGCCCCAACCCCAUCCCGCAUGUCCC
rnacentral:lncRNA from 1 species